rnacentral:rRNA from 1 species
AGUGAACGCUGGCGGUAGGCCUAACACAUGCAAGUCGAACGGCAGCACAGUAAGAGCUUGCUCUUACGGGUGGCGAGUGGCGGACGGGUGAGGAAUACAUCGGAAUCUACUUUUUCGUGGGGGAUAACGUAGGGAAACUUACGCUAAUACCGCAUACGACCUACGGGUGAAAGCAGGGGAUCUUCGGACCUUGCGCGAUUGAAUGAGCCGAUGUCGGAUUAGCUAGUUGGCGGGGUAAAGGCCCACCAAGGCGACGAUCCGUAGCUGGUCUGAGAGGAUGAUCAGCAACACUGGAACUGAGACACGGUCCAGACUCCUACGGGAGGCAGCAGUGGGGAAUAUUGGACAAUGGGCGCAGGCCUGAUCCAGCCAUACCGCGUGGGUGAAGAAGGCAUUCGGGUUGUAAAGCCCUUUUGUUGGGAAAGAAAAGCAGCAGGUUAAUACCCCGCUGUUCUGACGGUACCCAAAGAAUAAGCACCGGCUAACUUCGUG